UACCCGGUUCAGGAGGUCAAACAGAUGCAUCCUGAUUACCCCUAGAAAGGAAUUCAAAAAAUGCAUAGGCUAGCAGAAUUUACACACGCUAAGUUGUUUGUUACCGGGUAUAAAAAGCCUGCUCUGCGCUUGUAAGGUGUGCUUCUCCCUCUGGCAUAGGUCGAGGGGAGCACCCGCUCAGCUGACUGACAAAUAAAGAUUUUGGUAUCC